CUACGGGGCGCACCAGUGAGGAAUAUUGCACAAUGGGGGGAACCCUGAUACAGCAACGCCGCGUGGAGGAUGACGCAUUUCGGUGUGUAAACUCCUUUUAUAUGUCAAGAAAAUGACGGUAGCAUAUGAAUAAGCACCGGCUAACUCCGUGCCAGCAGCCGCGGUAAUACGGAGGGUGCAAGCGUUACUCGGAAUCACUGGGCGUAAAGGACGCGUAGGCGGGUUGGAAAGUCAGGUGUGAAAUCCUACAGCUUAACUGUAGAACAGCACUUGAAACUUCUAAUCUAGAGUAUGGGAGGGGGAGAUGGAAUUAGUGGUGUAGGGGUAAAAUCCGUAGAUAUCACUAGGAAUACCUAAAGCGAAGGCGAUCUCCUGGAACAUUACUGACGCUAAGGCGUGAAAGCGUGGGGAGCAAACAGGAUUAGAUACCCUUGUAGUC
rnacentral:rRNA from 1 species